GACGAACGCUGGCGGCGUGCUUAAUACAUGCAAGUCGAGCGAGGUUACUGUUUCGGAUCCCUUCGGGGUGAAGAAGCUUUAACCUAGCGGCGGACGGGUGAGUAACGCGUGGGUAACCUACCCCAAAGUCCGGGAUAACAGCGGGAAACCGCUGCUAAUACCGGAUGCCUUUACCUUGGGGCAUCUUGAGGUAAAGAAAGGUAACGCUUUGGGAUGGGCCCGCGUCCCAUUAGCUAGUUGGUGAGGUAACGGCUCACCAAGGCGACGAUGGGUAGCCGGCCUGAGAGGGUGGACGGCCACACUGGGACUGAGACACGGCCCAGACUCCUACGGGAGGCAGCAGUAGGGAAUAUUGCGCAAUGGACGGAAGUCUGACGCAGCAACGCCGCGUGAGCGAUGAAGGUCUUCGGAUCGUAAAGCUCUGUCCUUGGGGAAGAAGGCGAAAGCUUGACGGUACCCAAGAAGAAAGCCCGGCUAACUACGUG
rnacentral:rRNA from 1 species